GCAAGUCGAGCGAGAUCUUCGGAUCUAGCGGCGGACGGGUGAGUAACGCGUGGGAAUAUGCCCUUUGGUACGGAAUAGCCCCGGGAAACUGGGAGUAAUACCGUAUGUGCCCUUCGGGGGAAAGAUUUAUCGGUGAGGGAUUGGCCCGCGUUGGAUUAGGUAGUUGGUGGGGUAAUGGCCUACCAAGCCGACGAUCCAUAGCUGGUUUGAGAGGAUGAUC
rnacentral:rRNA from 1 species